UGCAUCGGAACGUGUCCUUAAGUGGGGGAUAACGCACCGAAAGGUGUGCUAAUACCGCAUAAUCUCUACGGAGAAAAGCAGGGGAUCGCAAGACCUUGCGCUUUUGGAGCGGCCGAUGUCUGAUUAGCUAGUUGGUGAGGUAAAGGCUUACCAAGGCGUCGAUCAGUAGCUGGUCUGAGAGGACGACCAGCCACACUGGGACUGAGACACGGCCCAGACUCCUACGGGAGGCAGCAGUGGGGAAUUUUGGACAAUGGGGGAAACCCUGAUCCAGCCAUGCCGCGUGAGUGAAGAAGGCCU
rnacentral:rRNA from 1 species